rnacentral:rRNA from 1 species
UACGUAGGGUGCAAGCGUUGUCCGGAAUUAUUGGGCGUAAAGAGCUCGUAGGCGGUCAGUCGAGUCUGCUGUGAAAACUCGGGGCUUAACUCCGGGCCUGCAGUGGGUACGGGCUGACUAGAGUGCGGUAGGGGAGACUGGAAUUCCUGGUGUAGCGGUGAAAUGCGCAGAUAUCUGGAGGAACACCGGUGGCGAAGGCGGCAUCCUGGACCGAGAUUGACGCUGAUGCGCGAAAGCCAGGGGAGCAAACGGG